GACGAACGCUGGCGGCGUGCCUAAUACAUGCAAGUCGAACGAACUCUGGUAUUGAUUGGUGCUUGCAUCAUGAUUUACAUUUGAGUGAGUGGCGAACUGGUGAGUAACACGUGGGAAACCUGCCCAGAAGCGGGGGAUAACACCUGGAAACAGAUGCUAAUACCGCAUAACAACUUGGACCGCAUGGUCCGAGCUUGAAAGAUGGCUUCGGCUAUCACUUUUGGAUGGUCCCGCGGCGUAUUAGCUAGAUGGUGGGGUAACGGCUCACCAUGGCAAUGAUACGUAGCCGACCUGAGAGGGUAAUCGGCCACAUUGGGACUGAGACACGGCCCAAACUCCUACGGGAGGCAGCAGUAGGGAAUCUUCCACAAUGGACGAAAGUCUGAUGGAGCAACGCCGCGUGAGUGAAGAAGGGUUUCGGCUCGUAAAACUCUGUUGUUAAAGAAGAACAUAUCUGAGAGUAACUGUUCAGGUAUUGACGGUAUUUAACCAGAAAGCCACGGCUAACUACGUGCCAGCAGCCGCGGUAAUACGUAGGUGGCAAGCGUUGUCCGGAUUUAUUGGGCGUAAAGCGAGCGCAGGCGGUUUUUUAAGUCUGAUGUGAAAGCCUUCGGCUCAACCGAAGAAGUGCAUCGGAAACUGGGAAACUUGAGUGCAGAAGAGGACAGUGGAACUCCAUGUGUAGCGGUGAAAUGCGUAGAUAUAUGGAAGAACACCAGUGGCGAAGGCGGCUGUCUGGUCUGUAACUGACGCUGAGGCUCGAAAGUAUGGGUAGCAAACAGGAUUAGAUACCCUGGUAGUCCAUACCGUAAACGAUGAAUGCUAAGUGUUGGAGGGUUUCCGCCCUUCAGUGCUGCAGCUAACGCAUUAAGCAUUCCGCCUGGGGAGUACGGCCGCAAGGCUGAAACUCAAAGGAAUUGACGGGGGCCCGCACAAGCGGUGGAGCAUGUGGUUUAAUUCGAAGCUACGCGAAGAACCUUACCAGGUCUUGACAUACUAUGCAAAUCUAAGAGAUUAGACGUUCCCUUCGGGGACAUGGAUACAGGUGGUGCAUGGUUGUCGUCAGCUCGUGUCGUGAGAUGUUGGGUUAAGUCCCGCAACGAGCGCAACCCUUAUUAUCAGUUGCCAGCAUUAAGUUGGGCACUCUGGUGAGACUGCCGGUGACAAACCGGAGGAAGGUGGGGAUGACGUCAAAUCAUCAUGCCCCUUAUGACCUGGGCUACACACGUGCUACAAUGGAUGGUACAACGAGUUGCGAACUCGCGAGAGUAAGCUAAUCUCUUAAAGCCAUUCUCAGUUCGGAUUGUAGGCUGCAACUCGCCGACAUGAAGUCGGAAUCGCUAGUAAUCGCGGAUCAGCAUGCCGCGGUGAAUACGUUCCCGGGCCUUGUACACACCGCCCGUCACACCAUGAGAGUUUGUAACACCCAAAGUCGGUGGGGUAACCUUUUAGGAACCAGCCGCCUAAGGUGGGACAGAUGAUUAGGGUG
rnacentral:rRNA from 2 species